CUGUUCGAGCGCCAUUUCUACCCUGGAGCCCUGCUCUGUGAUGGGCACCGUCCUCGCGGACGGGCCCGAAACCUGUGGGCGCCGGCGUCCGGUCCUGAGCGUAGCAAGAGAAAUCCCUCGCUCGGAGCGCCAGGCGGCGGCCGCCCUGACCCUUUUACAAGGUUGGCCUCGGAUCAGGUGGGGAUACCCGCUGAACUUAA
rnacentral:misc_RNA from 1 species